GGUACAGUGGCUGAAGAAAGUAUGUCCAAACUGAGCUGCAUUGUGUUAAAGGUUGACAGUUACUGCUUGAACAACAAAAGACAGUUUUUUAUGUGUUCCUCUCACUUCACAAGAAAGUCGAUUGUAAAGGCAUUAUUCUGUCUGCCACAUUGCUGUUUGUUUUACACUAAACUACUAUCUCUUUGUACAUGAUUAGUUUGCUCCAUUAUAGAGAAUACACAUGUAAUGCUUUCCAGACUACACUUCUGAACACCAUGGGCAAAUCAUGAACAAGCUGUUGCAACUAUCAGGAUGUGAUCCCCCUUAACCUGGUAAUAAAUGACACCUCCCAUCCUGCACACCUGCAGGAUCUAUUACAUAAGGUUAUUUUAUCUCUCUCUCACUCUCACACACACACACACUGGUAGAAAUGUAAAAUUACUGUCACUAGCCAUUUUGUACAUUAUACUCACCACAUUUUUAAUUUUAAAGAAGCUAAAAAGGGCACAUUGCAUCAUGAGGAGAAGAGGAAAGCAGAAAUGCAACACAAGGACGUCAACUGCUGUAAAAUGCCAGCAACAAACCUUUAAAUUGAUUAAGUCAGUUGUCACCUGUGUGAUAUCAAUACCUUAUUGUUUGUUUGGAGCUUAAAUGAUCAGAAAAUCAAACAUUUUAUCAACAAUUAAUAGCUCAUGUAAUCUAUAAGAAACUGUGACAUUCUUGUUUGACAUCCGAUGAGCAAAUCUUGAUCAAAUAAAUGUAUGGAAUUUUUUUUUACAGAAAAGGAAACUCAUUUCAUUAUUUAAUUAAUUCAUCCCACUGCGACACUUAUGUAAGACUGAGUCUAUAUGAUAUGAUUCACUGCAGUCUUGGUGAGUUUGUCACCCCCUGACAGAUCACUGACUCUCAGGUUAAGAUAGAGCAGAGUUACGUUUGAAUGUUGUGAAAGCAUGUCCAAGGUCUUGGUUGAGUUAUUAUACAUGCAUACCUCUGCAGUCAGUGUUGUGUAACCUGCUGUUCCCUGACUCAUGUUUGUGAACGACAGGGAGUGGUCAUUGGGGUCUUUGAUAGCCCAUUGUCCCGCAAGAAUGUUUCCAGGCUCCCCACUUCCACUGGGAUGAAAAAUGUGUCGUAUUACCACUCAAAAAUUUCCACACAAAUGCUGAUGCUGCACUGGAGGUAAAAAUCUCAACCCAUUUAAACUGCCCAUGACAUGCAUGAUCUGUGAGCAGAGGUCUAUGUUUGUUUGUCGCUCUUUGUUCUUGCUGAUCCAUGAGCUAAUAUUGUUUCCUGUUUGAUGAGUGAGGGCAGUAAGAAGCGACAUUAUAUGUAACAUUCCUCUGUCCCUUUUCAGCAAGCUGCAGACAAUGGGUGGUACCUUACUGACUGAAGUUUGGAAAGUUUGAAUCAGGCAAGGAGAAGGCAGCUCUAGGGUCCAGUCAGUCUGGAGGUUGACUAGGAACAUCUGUCCAGGGAUUUCAGAUGAAGAAUAGUCCCAGGCUCACUGGUGCAUUUACAGAAAUGGACUAGACUGCAGUGCUUCAGUUCUGCCAGCAGAUGUCAGACACAUACGCUGUACUGUGCCUCACAAACCACACUAAAAUGUCUUUGUG